rnacentral:rRNA from 1 species
GAGUUUGAUCCUGGCUCAGGAUGAACGCUAGCGGCAGGCCUAACACAUGCAAGUCGAGGGGUAACAUAAAGUGCUUGCACUUUGAUGACGACCGGCGCACGGGUGAGUAACGCGUAUACAAUCUGCCUCAUACUAGGGGAUAGCCCAGAGAAAUUUGGAUUAAUACCCUAUAGUAUCAUUUAGAGUCAUCUCUUUAUGAUUAAAGGUUACGGUUUGAGAUGAGUAUGCGUUCUAUUAGUUAGUAGGUGAGGUAACGGCUCACCUAGACCACGAUAGAUAGGGGCCCUGAGAGGGGGAUCCCCCACACUGGUACUGAGACACGGACCAGACUCCUACGGGAGGCAGCAGUGAGGAAUAUUAGACAAUGGGCGAAAGCCUGAUCUAGCCAUGCCGCGUGCAGGAUGACGGCCCUAUGGGUUGUAAACUGCUUUUAUACAGGAAGAAAAAACUCUACGUGUAGAGUCUUGACGGUACUGUAAGAAUAAGGAUCGGCUAACUCCGUGCCAGCAGCCGCGGUAAUACGGAGGAUCCAAGCGUUAUCCGGAAUUAUUGGGUUUAAAGGGUCCGUAGGUGGACAAUUAAGUCAGAGGUGAAAUCCUGCAGCUCAACUGUAGAAUUGCCUUUGAAACUGGUUGUCUUGAGUCAUUAUGAAGUGGUUAGAAUGUGUAGUGUAGCGGUGAAAUGCGUAGAUAUUACACAGAAUACCAAUUGCGAAGGCAGAUCACUAAUAAUGUACUGACACUGAUGGACGAAAGCGUGGGUAGCGAACAGGAUUAGAUACCCUGGUAGUCCACGCCGUAAACGAUGGUCACUAGCUGUUCGGACUUCGGUCUGAGAGGCUAAGCGAAAGUGAUAAGUGACCCACCUGGGGAGUACGUUCGCAAGAAUGAAACUCAAAGGAAUUGACGGGGGCCCGCACAAGCGGUGGAGCAUGUGGUUUAAUUCGAUGAUACGCGAGGAACCUUACCAGGGCUUAAAUGUAGAGUGACAGGUCUAGAGAUAGAUUUUUCUUCGGACACUUUACAAGGUGCUGCAUGGUUGUCGUCAGCUCGUGCCGUGAGGUGUCAGGUUAAGUCCUAUAACGAGCGCAACCCCUGUUGUUAGUUGCCAGCGAGUAAUGUCGGGAACUCUAGCAAGACUGCCAGUGCAAACUGUGAGGAAGGUGGGGAUGACGUCAAAUCAUCACGGCCCUUACGUCCUGGGCUACACACGUGCUACAGUGGUAGGUACAGAGAGCAGCCAAUGCGUGAGCAUGAGCGAAUCUAUAAAACCUAUCUCAGUUCGGAUCGGAAUCUGCAACUCGACUCCGUGAAGCUGGAAUCGCUAGUAAUCGGAUAUCAGCCAUGAUGCGGUGAAUACGUUCCCGGGCCUUGUACAC